rnacentral:rRNA from 1 species
AACGAACGCUGGCGGCAUGCCUAACACAUGCAAGUCGAACGAGACCUUCGGGUCUAGUGGCGCACGGGUGCGUAACGCGUGGGAACCUGCCCUUAGGUUCGGCAUAACUCCCCGACAGGGGUGCUAAUACCGGAUAAUGUCUUCGGACCAAAGAUUUAUCGCCUUUGGAUGGGCCCGCGUUGGAUUAGCUGGUUGGUAGGGUAAAAGCCUACCAAGGCGACGAUCCAUAGCUGGUCUGAGAGGAUGACCAGCCACACUGGGACUGAGACACGGCCCAGACUCCUACGGGAGGCAGCAGUGGGGAAUAUUGGACAAUGGGCGAAAGCCUGAUCCAGCAAUGCCGCGUGAGUGAUGAAGGCCUUAGGGUUGUAAAGCUCUUUUACCCGGGAUGAUAAUGACAGUACCGGGAGAAUAAGCUCCGGCUAACUCCGUG